ACGAACGCUGGCGGUGUGCCUCACACAUGCAAGUCGAACGAGGUAGCAAUACCUAGUGGCGGACGGGUGAGUAACGCGUGGGAAUCUGCCCUUAGGUGGGGGAUAACUGACCGAAAGGUUAGCUAAUACCGUAUGUGCGUGCAUCUCGACAGAGGUGUAUGUAAAAGGAGUAAUCCGCCUGAAGAUGAGCCCGCGUCCGAUUAGCUAGUUGGUAGGGUAAAAGCCUACCAAGGCUACGAUCGGUAGCUGGUCUGAGAGGAUGAUCAGCCACAAUGGGACUGAGACACGGCCCAUACUCCUACGGGAGGCAGCAGUGGGGAAUUUUACGCAAUGGGGGAAACCCUGACGUAGCGACACCGCGUGAGCGAAGAAGCCCUUUGGGGUGUAAAGCUCUGUCGGCAGGAACGAAACAAAUGACGGUACCUGCAAAGGAAGCAUCGGCUAACUACGU
rnacentral:rRNA from 1 species